rnacentral:rRNA from 1 species
GAUGAACGCUGGCGGCGUGCCUAACACAUGCAAGUCGAGCGAACGGACGAGAAGCUUUCUCCUCUGAUGUUAGCGGCGGACGGGCGAGUAACACGUGGAUAACAUACCUCUAAGACUGGGAUAAUAUCGGGAAACCGGAGCUAAUACCGGAUAAUAUUUUGAACCGCAUGGUUCAAGAGUGAAAGACGGUCUUGCUGACACUAAUAGCUGGAUCCGGGCUGCAUUAGUUAGUUGGUAAGGUAACGGCUUAACAACGCAACGAUGCAUAGCCGACCUGAGAGGGUGAUCGGCCACACUGGAACUGAGGCACGGUCCAGACUCCUACGGGGAGCAACAGUAGGGAAUCUUCCGCAAUGGGCGAAAGGCUGACGGAGCAACGCCGGGUGAGUGAUGAAGGUCUUCGGAUCGUAAAACUCUGUUAUUAGGGAAGAACAUAUGUGUAAGUAACUGUGCACAUCUUGACGGUACCUAAUCAGAAAGCCACGGCUAACUACGUG